AUUGAACGCUGGCGGAAUGCUUUACACAUGCAAGUCGAACGGCAGCACGGACUUCGGUCUGGUGGCGAGUGGCGAACGGGUGAGUAAUGUAUCGGAACGUGCCCAGUCGUGGGGGAUAACGUAGUGAAAAUUACGCUAAUACAGCAUACGAUCUAUGGAUGAAAGCGGGGGAUCGCAAGACCUCGCGCGAUUGGAGCGGCCGAUAUCAGAUUAGGUAGUUGGUGGGGUAAAGGCCCACCAAGCCAACGAUCUGUAGCUGGUCUGAGAGGACGACCAGCCACACUGGAACUGAGACACGGUCCAGACUCCUACGGGAGGCAGCAGUGGGGAAUUUUGGACAAUGGGCGAAAGCCUGAUCCAGCCAUUCCGCGUGCAGGAUGAAGGCCCUCGGGUUGUAAACUGCUUUUGUACAGAACGAAAAGGUUUCUACUAAUACUAGGAGCUCAUAACGGUACUGUAAGAAUAAGCACCGGCUAACUACGUGCCAGCCGCCGCAGUAA
rnacentral:rRNA from 1 species